GAUGAACGCUGGCGGCGUGCCUAAUACAUGCAAGUCGAGCGAACAGAUGAGGAGCUUGCUCCUCUGACGUUAGCGGCGGACGGGUGAGUAACACGUGGAUAACCUACCUAUAAGACUGGGAUAACUUCGGGAAACCGGAGCUAAUACCGGAUAAUAUAUUGAACCGCAUGGUUCAAUAGUGAAAGACGGUUUUGCUGUCACUUAUAGAUGGAUCCGCGCCGCAUUAGCUAGUUGGUAAGGUAACGGCUUACCAAGGCAACGAUGCGUAGCCGACCUGAGAGGGUGAUCGGCCACACUGGAACUGAGACACGGUCCAGACUCCUACGGGAGGCAGCAGUAGGGAAUCUUCCGCAAAGGGCGAAAGCCUGACGGAGCAACGCCGCGUGAGUGAUGAAGGUCUUCGGAUCGUAUAACUCUGUUAUUAGGGAAGAACAAAUGUGUAAGUAACUAUGCACGUCUUGACGGUACCUAAUCAGAAAGCCACGGCUAACUACGUG
rnacentral:rRNA from 1 species